rnacentral:rRNA from 1 species
GCGACAGGCUUAACACAUGCAAGUCGAGGGGCAGCGGGGGCGUAGCAAUAUGCCUGCCGGCGACCGGCGCACGGGUGAGUAACACGUAUGUAACCUGCCCUAUGCAGGGGGAUAACCCGGAGAAAUCCGGCCUAAUACCGCGUAAUACCUUAGGGGAGCAUUCUCUUGAGAUUAAAGGAGAGAUCCGGCAUAGGAUGGACAUGCGUCGCAUUAGGUAGACGGCGGGGUAACGGCCCACCGUGCCGACGAUGCGUAGGGGUUCUGAGAGGAAGGCCCCCCACACUGGUACUGAGACACGGACCAGACUCCUACGGGAGGCAGCAGUGAGGAAUAUUGGUCAAUGGCCGAGAGGCUGAACCAGCCAAGUCGCGUGAGGGAAGAAUGUCCUAAGGAUUGUAAACCUCUUUUGUCGGGGAGCAAAAAGGCUCUGCGGAGUCGUAUUGAGAGUACCCGAAGAAAAAGCAUCGGCUAACUCCGUGCCAGCAGCCGCGGUAAUACGGAGGAUGCGAGCGUUAUCCGGAUUUAUUGGGUUUAAAGGGUGCGCAGGCGGCGUGUCAAGCAAGCGGUAAAAUAGCGGGGCUCAACCCCGUCGAGCCGUUUGAACUGGCGCGCUUGAGUUCAGGCGAGGUAGGCGGAAUUCGUGGUGUAGCGGUGAAAUGCAUAGAUAUCACGAAGAACUCCGAUUGCGAAGGCAGCUUACCAGUCUGCGACUGACGCUCAGGCACGAAAGUGUGGGUAUCGAACAAGAUUAGAUACCCUGGUAGUCCACACAGUAAACGAUACGCUAAAGGUGUCCGGGUCGAAUGAGGCUUGGGUGCCCGAGCGAAAGCGUUAAGCGCUCCACCUGGGGAGUACGCCGGCAACGGUGAAACUCAAAGGAAUUGACGGGGGCCCGCACAAGCGGAGGAACAUGUGGUUUAAUUCGAUGAUACGCGAGGAACCUUACCCGGGCUCAAACGACUCAGGAAUAUAUUGGAAACGAUGUAGCCAGCAAUGGUCUGAGUCGAGGUGCUGCAUGGUUGUCGUCAGCUCGUGCCGUGAGGUGUCGGCUUAAGUGCCAUAACGAGCGCAACCCCUACCGCCAGUUGCCAACGGGUAAAGCCGGGAACUCUGGCGGGACUGCCGGCGCAAGCUGCGAGGAAGGCGGGGAUGACGUCAAAUCAGCACGGCCCUUACGUCCGGGGCGACACACGUGUUACAAUGGCAGGUACAGCGGGAAGCCACCUGGUGACAGGGAGCGGAACCCGAAAGCCUGUCUCAGUUCGGAUUGGAGUCUGCAACUCGACUCCAUGAAGCUGGAUUCGCUAGUAAUCGCGCAUCAGCCAUGGCGCGGUGAAUACGUUCCCGGGCCUUGUACACUCCGCCCGUCAAGCCAUGGGAGCCGGGGGUGCCUGAAG